UCUCUCCUGUACCUGGAGUAUCUGAAAGUGUUGUGAUUUCCUGCAUAAGCCAUCAUGCCUGUCAGCUUUGUCAAGGGUCUUAAUUUGAAAUGAAUUGAACCACGAUGUAUGCCGGUUAAUGUGACGGAAGCAUUACAAUUUAUGCUUUCUAAUUGAGAUUUACGACAUCCCAACGAAUUGUGUUGGACGAACAGACUGUGUUCAAGAGAAUCUUUAAAAGUCAUAAAUAAUUAAUGUUUAAUUAAUGUUUACAUUGUUGUGAGUGAAUGUGAAUUUUCGUUGCAUGUUAUUUAAUAAACGAUGUAACAGAGGGAAAAGUUGUUUUAUUACAACCUUUGAACAGUGAGGAUUUCAUAAUAAGUUCAAAGGGUAGCAUAUGUGGUCUCCACGGGUCGAAGGUCGAACAACCCUGCAAUACCCAAGGUCACUAAAAGUAACCAACAAUGCGUCACCAUAUUGACAAUGUCAAAAUUAAAAGAAACGCCUUCGUCUAAGAGCCUUACACAUUAAUGGAAAGCUAUAAUUCAUGUAACUAUAGGGGUAUGGUUAUUCAUGUAUUUUAAUUAAAGGUUAUUUGGGAUUUUUUGCUUUUACAUGUAGAGAAAAAAAAUCAAGAUUAAUAUUUAGGUAGUGACGCAUAUAUAUAAAAUUAGUUUUUCCCUGUGUGUUUGGUUUUAGCUUUUUCGAACUUUUCCCUUCCUUGCUACAUGAGAAAAGAAGAACAAAAACUGCGGCUAUGUUUUCCAGGCCGACUGCACUCUCGGUUUAAUUUCUCUUUCUUCUCCCUGUCCAUUGAAAAGGGAAAAGGUUUUUGUGGUUUUCUGGAGAAAUAAAGAACUUCUUAGAGAGGUCGGCCGACGUGACUUUGAACUUGGAUCAGAUCCUGUGUUUCCUGUGGAGAGGGUAGAAAUAGUCUUAGAAGAAUGGUACAUAACGUUCAAACAGCAUGGCUUUGAGCUGAGGCACACAGAAUUCCCAAAGUUUUAUACAUCCUCCGCCCUAUUAUUUACAGCUUAAAGCGUUCGGAGGAGAGGAAAGACAAGACAAAGUGUGUUGUGCGUUGGAACAGGACUUCAUGGGACUAUAUAUUCAAUGAAAUUGCAGCAGAAGGUGUCACCUUCAUCGGACCUGACACACAUGCUACUCAAACCAUGGGAGACAAGAUCAGGGGCAAAUUAAUCGCCGAGAUGCCAAGGUCAGUGUUAUGGCCCUAUGUGGUGUGGGCUGGUCAAGGUGAGCAGCAGACACACGUCUAUUCUUUCAGCCACCUCAAAUGACUCAUCUCACGUCUGUCAUACCGUCACGAGGGCAUCAACACUGAUGUGUGUGUUUAUAAAGACUAGGUGUUGUCAGUGAGCUGUCAGCUCUGGGAAUAACAAAUUAGGUCUUUUUUAUGUGUUGCCACUAUGGCAAAAUAUUACCUCCCUUGGAAUGCGAUCCAGGAACUUGUUGUUUGCGGAUGGAAAUGUGUGCGUGUAGUAGGAAGGGCCGUUGCUAAUGAGGGAUGUUUUGAAAACAUUUAAAGCCCUAAUGAUGGUGCUGCAAGAGCAAAGCCUCUUCCGGGGGCUGUGAUUUAAGAUAGUUCGAGGCUGUGGAAAAAUAGUUUCACACAAUUUCAUUCUUGCAUUCCUGUUGUUAAAAUAUUGGGGUUAGAGGCUAACACAAAGAUGAGGAGGUGAAUAACCCUGCCGUAUGCGUGUGUUUUUAAAGCAAAGAGUAUUAAAGCUCCUUCAAUAGCAGCCCGAGCGUUUUCUCACUUCUCCAUUUUGUCUCGAGAGCACUUAAUUGUCUGCAUUUGGCAAGUUUAACACUUCCUGACUCGAGUGGCCUCACUUGAAUGUCUUUGCAUAGCUUUUGGGGACAAAAGGAAGGCCUAGAUGCAGAAAACACACACACACACACACACACACACAAGCAGGCAAAUAUAUAUAAAAAAAAUCCAUAGUGACCGAAUUAAACAUGCCAAGAGAAAAUUUCCCACCGAGAAAUUUUGAGAUUUUAGCUGCGCCUAGUUCUGUCCGCCAGCCAAUUUUCCAUCAGGAAUCUCUCAUUAGCAGAUGUUUUUGGCCACAACACACACACACCUCAGUGUGAUCUGGUGAACCCUAAAUUUAACAAGCGCUUAGCAGAGCAGACGAGUUAAUGAAAGGAAAUGACCUUUUCUGCCAAUUUCCCCCUUCCAUUCAGGUGCUUUUUUAUGUUGCGAUUUAAAAUGACAGAUAUUUUUAUUUUGUACUAAAUAAACUGCUGAAUCUUUCCUAUGUUUCAUUAUUUCUGGGAAGCGCAUGAGUCAGGUAUAACUGCCGUCAGAUGGUCACAAUUACAUCUUGCUUGACCUGCUUUCCAAGACUUAUUGCCCACUUUAUCGUUUUAAAGAGGUGUCUGAAACUGAAAUUUAAUUUUUAAUUCGCUUUCAUGUACAUCCUUUUUUAACAGCUUUUGAGUUGCUAAUAUCUUGAAGAAUUGUCCUUGAUUGAUUACUGUUCACAGUCCUGGCAUCUAUUCUCAACUUAAACUGCAAUCUGUUUGCUUACUCAUUUUAGUAGCCGGCGAUACAGGAUGAAGUUUAUUUACACCACUGUCAUCUGUUCCCUUCAAAGCAGCAAAGCCGAUGAUUUCCACAUAAGAGCAGUGGGGAGACUCGGGUAGACGGCCCCUCCAGAGCCCGCUGAAGUGAAGCCGUAGUUGGGUAUGUUGGCUGGUCUCGCCCGGCAGCCCCACAGCAGGCUGGAAGCCUCUUCUAUCUCUGCUUCCAAUCAAUAGAAGAGCUGCUCCCCCUGCUGCCUGUCCUACGCUACAACUUCCUCUUUUCUUACCUCUUCCAAUGGCACCCAUCACCCCUCACAUUUUCUCUACUUUUAUCCCUAUUUCUCUCUCUCUCUCCGCAGUGAAGCAGUGACGACGGUACCCGUUUGGCAGUGGCUGACAUGAGCAGGGGUCUGUCAAGGAGGGCUGUUAGGCUAGUGGCGAGAUGGAAACCCAUCUGGGAGGCCUUUGGAUGCAGCUUGUGAUGUGAAGGUUUUUGGGAGCCCUUCGUCUCUCUUGGCAGCAGUUGAUUGUGACGGCACGUUUCUGCACACAUCCAAGAACCUUCUGUCCUAUCUACUGAUACCUCGAUCUGGUCUCCCUCAGCCAUCUUGUUCCUCAUAAAUUUUUCACCAUGCUGUGAUCAAAGCUCACCACUGUAUUUGUGUUCUGUUGUAAUGGCCAAAGGAUGUAACAUAAAAUUGUAAAUUACGAUCCAUCCUAUAUCAGGCCAAGUGUUGACAUGGCUUUUACUGUGUGGGUUUUUAACGUGAUUGAUUUAUUUUGUUUAGAUGGGCAGGAAUGUGCAGGAAUGUUUGGUGCUGUAGGCGCGUCAGUGGGUGACCCGCUUUCAUAUGCCGUGCACUUGUCUUAGUAGUGCAGCCAGGCCAUGCUUUUUU